GCUAUAUAUACAUACUAAUCCACACUAUUUUUAUUUCUCAUUGUUUUAGAGAGAGAGAGAUAGAGAGAGAUGAGUUCGCGGUUAUGCACCAUAUGUUUAAACUCAGUUGUAGAUGAUAAUAGUAGAGGAAAAGCAGAGCUCGUUUGUGGCCAUCUCUUUCACUUGGAUUGUAUUGGUUCAGAAUUCAACUACAGAAGCGAAAUGAAAUGCCCAAAUUGUAGGGUGGUGGAAAGUGGUGAAUGGCUUUUUCCUGAAGUGGAACUUGACGAUGACGAAGACUAUUCAGUAGGCGAGCGUCGUCUUGAAAUUCACAUAUAUUCACACGGUGGAAGGGGUGAUUCUUCGACUUCCAGGCAAGUAACAUAAUAGAAACUUCUGAGCUCACUUUAAGAUGAAAUUGACAUUUUCCCGUUUAAUAUUGAUUUUUUUUAUAUAGAUUUUAAUUUCAUAGUUUUAUUUAAAGAAAAUAUACUAAUAUAGUAGCUCCAUAAAUUAAUUUAGCGACAAUAUUAAUUAAUUUUUUAAUUAAUAGUGCAUUAUUUAAGUCUUAAGGAGUAAUUUAGUGACAAUUUAGGUUUGUUACUAAUUUAUAGCGUUGGAAAUUUAAUUGGUGACCGAAUUUUACCGGUGACAUUUUAACUCAUAUAAAUAUAGUUAGGUGUGAAAAUUGACAUGUUUCACGUUAUUAAUAUAACGCUUUUUUCCUUUUUCUUUUUCUUCCAUAAGUAAAAAGAUGUCGUUUUGAUAAUAUGAAAUAUCUCAAAUUUUCAGAUCAUUGAAUUUAUGUGGGUGAACAUAUCGCAUAUCCAUCUGGCAAAUUGGAUUUUUCGAAUUUCGGUGCGAAAAAAUACUUAUGGGCUAAAUUGUAACUAAAUCAAUUUGUAAGACUUGUAUAAUGAACCCUCAAAAAAAAGACUUGUAUAAUGUAUUAAUGAGUUAAAAAUCAGGUUAAUUUAUCAAAAUUAGGUUAAUUUUUUUUAUUUAAUACUGUUAAUUUAUAAAAAAAAUCAGGUUAAUUCUAAAAAAAUGAGUUAAAAAUCAGGUUAAAAACUUUCACUAAAUCAAAUUAUGGCGCAAAACUAGUGUAUUUUUCUUUUAUUUAUUCUUAGUCGAAUGUAGUACUAACAAUACCUCUUUUUGGUAAAGGGAAGAAAUAGGAGCUUGUUUGAAAGCAUUUUUGUCAACUAGUAU